rnacentral:siRNA from 1 species
UUAGUGUGUUGUGAUUGCGC